GACGAACGCUGGCGGCGUGCCUAAUACAUGCAAGUAGAACGCACAGUUUAUACCGUAGCUUGCUACACCAUAGACUGUGAGUUGCGAACGGGUGAGUAACGCGUAGGUAACCUGCCUGGUAGCGGGGGAUAACUAUUGGAAACGAUAGCUAAUACCGCAUAAUAUUGAUUAUUGCAUGAUAAUUGAUGGAAAGAUGCUAUUGCAUCACUACCAGAUGGACCUGCGUUGUAUUAGCUAGUAGGUGAGGUAACGGCUCACCUAGGCGACGAUACAUAGCCGACCUGGGAGGGUGGUCGGCCACACUGGGACUGAGACACGGCCCAGACCCCUACGGGAGGCAGCAGUAGGGAAUCUUCGGCCAUGGACGAAAGGCUGACCGAGCAACGCCGCGUGAGGGAAGAAGGGUUUCGGAUCGUAAAGCUCGGUUGUAAGAGAAGAACGGGUGUGAGAGUGGAAAGUUCACACUGUGACGGUAUCUUACCAGAAAGGGACGGCUAACUACGUG
rnacentral:rRNA from 1 species